GUAUUAUGAUAGUUCAGUUGUUUAGAGCGUGGUGCUACUAACGCCAAGGUUGCAGGUUUGACCCCCGAAUGGGACA